rnacentral:rRNA from 1 species
CCUACGGGAGGCAGCAGUGAGGAAUAUUGGUCAAUGGACGAGAGUCUGAACCAGCCAAGUAGCGUGAAGGAUGACUGCCCUAUGGGUUGUAAACUUCUUUUAUAAAGGAAUAAAACGAGGCACGUGUGCCUUUUUGCAUGUACUUUAUGAAUAAGGAUCGGCUAACUCCGUGCCAGCAGCCGCGGUAAUACGGAGGAUCCGAGCGUUAUCCGGAUUUAUUGGGUUUAAAGGGAGCGUAGAUGGGUUGUUAAGUCAGGUGUGAAAGUUUGCGGCUCAACCGUGAAAUUGCAAUUGAUACUGGCAGCCUUGAGUACAGUUGAGGCAGGCGGAAUUCGUGGUGUAGCGGUGAAAUGCUUAGAUAUCACGAAGAACCCCGAUUGCGAAGGCAGCUUACUAAACUGUGACUGACAUUGAUGCUCGAAAGUGUGGGUAUCAAACAGGAUUAGAUACCCUUGUAGUC